rnacentral:rRNA from 1 species
GGGAAAUCUUACCGGGUCCGGACACACUGAGGAUUGACAGGCGCUUGCAUAGCAGCUUCGACCACCCUUGCGGUGGGCGUCGCCGCCAAUGCUUUCAAAUAUGCUAGUCCUUUCAUGAUUGUGUGAUAGGUGGUGCAUGGCCGUUCUUAGUUCGUGGAGUGAUCUGUCUGCUUAAUUGCGUUUCACAAGGGACUUGACUGGUUUACGUUGGCCUGCGGCGCCCUCCUGCCUCACGGCGGAGUGCCGCGCCUGGGUUUCAAUUGCCAACAUCCCGAAGGCAACGA